CAACAUUGUCUUACACUUCUUGGAAGAAUGGAAGCCAAAUGAGGAACUCUCCCUUAAACACCUGUCUUGGAAACUGCUGACUCUGUUAUGCUUACUGUCCUGCAAGAGGAUAUCGGACGUACGUGCCUUGGACUGGGACGCAUUAUCAUUCACCCCAGAGGGCGUAUCAUUCUCCAUAUCGAGACGAACUAAAGGCAAUACAAAAUCUAUCUCUUACCCGAGAUACCCGGGACAUCCUUCACUAUGUCCGGUCAGAUGCCUUCGGUCCUACCUGGAUCGUACUCAGAGGUUACGCUCACCUGCAUCAAGUCAAUUAUUUAUAUCCUUUCGAAC